UUAGGUUAAGUUAGAAAGGGCGCACGGUGAAUGCCUUGGCACUAGGAGCCGAUGAAGGACGGGACUAACACCGAUAUGCUUCGGGGAGCUGUAAGUAAGCUUUGAUCCGGAGAUUUCCGAAUGGGGGAACCCACUGCUCGUAAUGGA
rnacentral:rRNA from 1 species